rnacentral:rRNA from 1 species
UGCGCAGGUGGGCUGGUAAGUUCGAUGUGAAAGCCCCGGGCUUAACCCGGGAAAGGCAUUGGAAACUACUGGUCUGGAGGAUUGGAGGGGGGACUGGAAUUCUUGGUGUAGCAGUGAAAUGCGUAGAUAUCAAGAGGAACACCAGUGGCGAAGGCGAGUCCCUGGACAAUUCCUGACACUGAGGCACGAAAGCUAGGGGAGCAAACA